CUUAUCUCCUGAUGGCCAGAUUGAAGAACGUUGAUAACAAACACUAACAUGCUUCGUAGUAUACAGAAAUUUCUCAAGAAAUAAACAUUUUACAUUCCUAUCAUUCAACUCGCGUAAGAAGACCACCAGAAGAGGCGACGACAUCAUAUUUCCUUGAAUCUGCAGAUUCUCCAGAAAGUGACAAGUUCGCCUAGAAGACUUCUAGAUUUCUUUAAAUGGCGAGAGGGAGGUGAAAUGAUUUCAGAAACUAGAAUAUUAAGCUCUUUCGAGUUAGCAUUGCCCGGUUCAAAAUAUCGCUUGUCGAUUGGAGACAUUGGAGUACGAGUCCCUUCUUUGCCUACAGCCAAGUCAUGAAUUUUUCAAAUUUGGAAACAUACCUGCUCAGAAUUUUGUAAGUCAGAGCGAUCGAUUGAACAAUAAAAAAUGUUAACACAUAAGGGUAAACAGAAGGAUGGGACAGCAGACCCGAAGACGUCGAUGGAAAAGUUCGGUAGACGCGAUAAAACCCAAAAAAGAAGCAAAUAAAACCAGCAGGUAGGUAGACAAAAUCACCAAUUUAAAAGCAAAAAAAAGGAUUUCGCACCCUAAAUUCAAACUCGUUUCUGCAACGACAUCACGAUCGCCAUUUUCAACACCUACAGGAUGAUUUGUAUACAAAGUAUAUAUACGUAAACGUAUCCAUUCACCGUCACCCCAGUUGCUUUUGACAGGACGUAAUCCGUCCACCGAUGAGAUGGUUUUUUUGCAGUGAAAGAGGCGAAAUGACGGAUUAAUAGAACACUCGUAUUUCGGCGAGUCGAGAGCUAGGAAAAACGGAAACUGCGACUUGGUACAUAUAAUCCGUGCAAAGGCAACAGAAAAGACCACCCUUUGUACGUAUCUACAAUGUCGACGUCGGCGUCGCGUCGCCUUCAGCUACCUACUCGUAGUUCAAUCGUAUAACACACGCUAGAGUCCAUAAUAUAAAAGAGGCAAAACACUAUUACGACGAGCUGAAGUUCUCAACCUAUUUUCUCUUUUUUCCCUCUUUGGUUCCACCCAUUACACAUAUCGUCAAGAUUAACUUUACAGUCUCUCAAAACCAAACUGAUCGAUAAACCAGCAGACUUAUCAAACGAUACCACGUUAACCAUAUGGAUUUUCCGCGACCGCCGCCAACGCGCCAGGGCCAGCAGCAUUCCCAAAUGGCACAGCUUGGAACAGGCUACAGAGUACAGCUACAGUACAGCAAAUAAUAUAUCUGCCAGUAACCAUUUGAAAGCCUGCGCUCAUUAGAGCGAGCCGAUCUAAUGUAAUGAUAAAAUGUCCACCGACCACCGCCAUGUCCAUCAACAACACACGUAUAACGUGUGUGUGGUGCGUUUAUCUUAUCUUCGAGCUCGCUAAAUAAGCUGUUAGUCAACCCAACCGUCCGAAAUUGCGCUUCACGUACAUUACAAUAAUAGUACGUACAUAUCAGGAAACUGAAGCAGCUCGAGCUCGAGCAUGUAGAUCGAGAAAUGGGUGAAAUAAGGCUGUACGCGUCAUCAAUCGUGUACCGAGAAUUUUCCACGUAGGUAUAGGUACUUAACUCACCAUCCGUAGUUAUCUACCGAAAGAUGCAAUCAUUCCAUCCAAAGUACUCGUAAGUUCUUUUCAUUAGUUGAUGGUAUAUAACUCUUCGAGA